UNUGACUUGAGUGCAGAAGGGGAGAGUGGAAUUCCAUGUGUAGCGGUGAAAUGCGUAGAUAUAUGGAGGAACACCAGUGGCGAAAGCGGCUCUCUGNUCUGUCACUGACGCUGAGGCUCGAAAGCGUGGGUAGCGAACAGGAUUAGAUACCCUGGUAGUNCACGCCGUAAACGAUGAGUGCUAGGUGUUAGGCCCUUUCCGGGGCUUAGUGCCGGAGCUAACGCAAUAAGCACUCCGCCUGGGGAGUACGACCGCAAGGUUGAAACUCAAAGGAAUUGACGGGGGCCCGCACAAGCGGUGGAGCAUGUGGUUUAAUUCGAAGCAACGCGAAGAACCUUACCAGGUCUUGACAUCCCGAUGCUAUUCUUAGAGAUAGGAAGUUACUUCGGUACAUCGGAGACAGGUGGUGCAUGGUUGUCGUCAGCUCGUGUCGUGAGAUGUUGGGUUAAGUCCCGCAACGAGCGCAACCCUUAUUGUUAGUUGCCAUCAUUAAGUUGGGCACUCUAGCGAGACUGCCGGUGAUAAACCGGAGGAAGGUGGGGAUGACGUCAAAUCAUCAUGCCCCUUAUGACCUGGGCUACACACGUGCUACAAUGGUCGGUACAACGAGUUGCGAGCCGGUGACGGCAAGCUAAUCUCUGAAAGCCGAUCUCAGUUCGGAUUGAAGGCUGCAACUCGCCUCCAUGAAGUCGGAAUCGCUAGUAAUCGCGGAUCAGCACGCCGCGGUGAAUACGUUCCCGGGCCUUGUACACAC
rnacentral:rRNA from 1 species